GGACACGAGAAAUCUUGUACGAAUCUGCCAGGACCAUCUGGUAAGGCUAAAUACUGACUGACGACCGAUAGUGAACAAGUACCGCGAGGGAAAGGUGAAAAAGAACCCGUGAGAGGGGAGUGAAAUAGAACAUGAAACCGUGUGCUUACAAGCAAUUGGAGCCCUAUUUAUAGGGUGACAGUGUGCCUGUUGAAGAAUGAGCCGGCGAGUUACCGUAUGUAGUUGGUUAAGCAGUUAAUAUGCGAAGCCAUAGCGAAAGCGAGUCUGAUAAGGGCGUUGAUAAUUACAUGUGGUAGACCCGAACCCGGGUGAUCUAGGCAUGGCCAGGAUGAAGCGCAAGUAACAUUGCGUAGAGGUCCGAACCAACUGAUGUUGAAAAAUCAGUGGAUGAGCUGUGUUUAGGGGUGAAAUGCCAAUCGAACCCGGAGCUAGCUGGUUCUCCCCGAAAGGCGUUGAGGCACCGCGUCAGAUUUAUCCUACAGGGGGUAGAGCACUAGUUCGGUGC
rnacentral:rRNA from 1 species